ACGUGAAGAAUCCACUGAGAGGAAUGAAUGGCGAUGCGGUCCAGGGAUUUUGGCGUAGGCACGGCUGCCGAGCUUGGCCUGACUGCCCUGACUGCCUGUACCCAGAAUUAUGACGAUUUCACAACCCUCAGAGCAGUACAGACGCGGGCCGACUUAAUUGAGCUUGGCCACAGGGGCCUUCAGGAGUGUUGUUCGCGCGCCUUACGACGGAAGGCUUUGGUGCUUCGUGCGUUACCCCAAGGAAUGCGGAGUAGCAAUAUCGUCCACGGACGACACCGCCAGGAGUUGACCUCUGUAGGGACUCGGCCUGCGCAGUCCCAGCAUCGUCCGAUCAGGUGACGUGCAUAAGGACGGCCUGCUGAGCAGGAGGGUUGCGUGGAAAAUGUGGAAUCAUGUUUAAGCAGCCCCUCGCAGAAAUGUGUCCGGUCGUACUUCGCGAAUAAAAGGUCCGUACAUCACGCCCCAAAAGCCAGGAGCGAAUUUCACCGCGCGGUUGCGCGCGUGCGAUUCACAAAUUGCGCGUGUACAAGUGUAUAUAUUUUUUUUGGCGAAAAGGCCGAGGUGCGCCAGCGCGUUGCGCAGGUGGGCAUGUUAGAAACAGCCGCAUGCGGCAUGCAGGCUGGACUAUUGCGUGGAUGCUUUGCAGUAACUAAAAGCACGGUCGUAGCUUGCAACUCUGGGCUCGUGAAACUGCCGCGGAAGAUGAAGCGGUCGGCGAAGAAUCAGCCAUAAGGCGCCUGCUUUCGGUAGCGCAGCGCAUAAUGCACAUUGUUCCCACUAAACUCAAGUUACACUCUUACGAAAUAAAUAUCAACAACGCAGAAUUAGGUAAAGAGAAGAAUCGCGAAAGUCGUUCAGAACCUUGCAAGUAAAAUGGAUGCCGCUGAGGGCUUGGAACAGCUUUUCGCAGCGCAUUCGGCCGUGCCUGCGUUAGCCGUGUUGCAGCAACUACGGAAGGACUUGAGCCAGCAGCAAGCUCAAAUUCUGUUUAAGAACCACCGGCAUUGUCUUCAGAUGGGAACAUGUAGUUUUGGUCGGCGCGGGCGAGCAGCGUACGCAUUGCGCACAGGUACCGAGGUGCAGCGUCUCAGGAUGGAUUUCAGCCAACAAAGCCUCAAGAGCUGCUGCACAACCACCGGUGUGUCUUCAGUUGGGCACGUGUAGUUUUGGUCGGCGGGGUCGAGCAACGUAUGCAUUGCGCACAGAAACCAAGGUGCAGCGUUCUGUAACAUCGCCAACAUAUCCGGUACGCGGUGGCAGGCUUGCCGAGCACGAAAUGAAGGGGGGGUCGCAUCUCACCAUUCAACUAAGCAUGCAUGUGCUCGGUUGAAUGCUCGGUAGCAUGCGAGUUUACCCCUAUCAGGAUGUUUGUUUGCAUAUCCCCCCAAGCGAGAGGGCUUGCACCUAUGCUGAUGUUCGUUCCAAGAAAUGAACUGAGGACUGAUGCUACGGUGAAAGAUUUGCACGUAAAUUCGCCCGUGCAAUAAAACGCCCUGUAACUCGCUUACGCUAAUCUCACAUUCCAAUAUGCCACUGCACUUUCCUCUCCAGCCUGGCCACAUUAUCUUCCUCGCAAACGUACUUGGGCACCAUACAAUCCAACACCAU
rnacentral:lncRNA from 1 species